rnacentral:other from 1 species
UACAAGCUGCAUUGUACGUAAUGAUAAUUAAGUUUUAACCUUUAAGCUGUAAUAGGGAGUUUUAUAUCGCAUCUGAAAUGUCAUGCCUCUCCAUUAGCAGAGGAAGACAGGAAAGCUGCUGCAAACACCCACUUUGAGAAGUGGUGGUUUAAAACUUUCUUACGUAAGUUACGGCAAUUGUGGCUUCUUU